rnacentral:lncRNA from 1 species
AGCAAAGAACCCAUCUGCCUCUUAUUUCUUCUCUCUCCUGCUCUCCUGGAUGCCUCUUUCUUGCUCUUCCCAUCUCCCAGCUCGCCCAUCUCCUCGCUCGUCGCCCAUCUCCUCGCUCAGGCUUCCCAUCUCCUCGCGACAAAUCCUUCCAUUCAUUGCAAGGUAACAAAAUUAGAUGUGGGUAGAUGGAUUUUCUUGCUUUUAGUGUUGAAUUAGGCCUUUUGUUUUAUAUUUUCUGUUUUGGUUUUGAAAAAUUGGAGGGCUAAUAUUUUUUGAGGGCCAAACCCUAGAAUCUGCAGAUUUGUUUGUGUUGAUAGACAACUUUUUGAUUUAUGAAUAUUGUUCUAGGUUAUAGUGGGUGGUGUUAAAAAUAGAAAGCAGAGCACAUUUGUUAUGCUGUUAUGGAGUGUUAUUAUUUGAGAAUGAGUUGUAAUUUGAUGAGAAACUCCUCUUUCACUUUCUCUCUCCAAAACCUCCAAAAUAUUCCCGAUCCCAUCUAUUCUUCUCCUCCGUUUGCCUCGUUUCUUCUGUCUGUUCGCUGAAUAAUUUAUUAUGUACUAUCUUUUUGUUUGCUUUUAUAUUAGUUUUGUUGAUUUUUUUUGUUAUAAAUUGUUUCAGAGAUUGUUCAGCUGGUUUUGUUUGAUAACGACUCUUUAAAAUUGUGUGUUCAUGGGUUUGACAACUUUUAUGUAUUACACAAUACACAUCUGCCUAUUGAGGUGCAUAUGCAUCUUUCCGAGCUCCUAGCCAAUGUUGUCAGUUUUACGGAUAUAUAUACUAGGGUGUAUUGAGUUUGAUUAUGUAGGCCAUUUUGAUUAUGCUUAUUAGAUUUAACAUUAAUGAUGCUAACAGUUCUCCUCAACUUAAGAGAGGUUUCUGAAAAAAAUUAUAUUUUUCAGGUCAGUAACAAUAUUAGAAAGUUGCCACUAAUUUUUAUUGGCAUUCCACAUUUUAUAUGAAGGAGACGAGUAUUCUUAAAUUGCUUGGUAUUUUAACUAUUAAUGUGAGACAUUAUUGUCAAAGUGUAUUUCUGAGUGCCAAUAUCAUCAUCCUUUUCUGAGGGAGGGAGACAAUAUAUGGGAUGGAAGUGCUAUCCAUUGCCUAGUAACUGGAUACGUGAAUUGCUUGCAUAACAAAAGCCCAUACACAGAUGAAGAUUCUAGUAAAUGGGUAAUAUGACCAUACACAGAUGAAGGUUAAUUACACAAAAAGAAUUUGUUUGUAAUUUAUUUAUUUUUAAAAAAUAUUUUAAAAAUACCUUAUAGAAUUAGUUUAGUGGUUUUGAAGGGCCAAUACCUUCUAGUAUUUCUGUCUUGAGCAAUUUAAAUCAAGUAUAAACUCUUUGAUUGGUGUUCCUGUUUCUUUCUUAAGUAUAAGCUCUCUGUUUUUAUUUAUUGGCAGAGACCUUAGCUUUAACAAGCUGGAAGGGGAGAUACCAAAUGAUCUUGAAAGCCUAUCAAAUCUGGAGACUAUGUAAGCAAUCAAAAUUAAGGAAGAUCUUUUUAACUUGUGUAGGAAUUCUUUCUAGUUGUUUGAUAUACAUUUGUCAUAAUGUAUCAAGUGUGAUGUCACACAUGAAUGUCACACAUAAUGUAUCCAAGUUUUUGUUGGCAUGUAAGUUCUUUUCGUUAUAUUUGUUGAUUUGCUAUUUCCCAACUUUUCAUAUUUGUUCUUCUAUUUAAUGUGCAAGCCCUGAGUUUUUUUUUAAUUCUAAAAGCAAAUUCAUUUUAUAGGCCCAUCUCUGUUCCAUGGUCAUUUUGGGGAAUACCUUUUAGAGAUUUUUGUUUUGUUUAUAAUGGACUUUGUGCUGUUUGUAGGCCAACUACUGGUGGUGUUCCGCUUCCUGCGCCAGCCAAGGUAUGAAUUUUGUGCUAAGGAUUGUCAAAUACAAACUCUGGUUACCUGUAAAAAAAGUUCAAGAAAUCUCUAUUUGAAGACCAAUAUUUUAGGGUAGCGUCACUUGCUAGCAUAUAAUAUUGCACUUGUAGGAAGUGUAUUCUUCCUCAGAAAAGGCCUUAUUUUUGCAGUUGUAAUUGAUUCUUUGAAGGAUGUUCAUAAUUAUUAUAGAUAAAAGGAGUAUAUUGGAAUAAAGCAAAUUCUUCAAUCAAAGUUGCAAAGAUAUGCGAAACAUAAGCACAACUAAAAGUACUAUGUUUACCCAUUUACUGAUUUCAAAUUGGCAAACAAACUGCUGAAUUAAGUACCUUAGCAAAUUAUCCUAAACACACAAUACAAAGACUAGAACAAAAUAGAGAGGAUUUUAUCAACCAUAAUGGAAAAUUCUACAUCUUGUCGAAAAAAGAUCUUCAACCAAAAUUGGGGGUAAAAAUAAUUAAACAAAGGGGAUUAAGGGUCUAUUAAAUUGUUCAUAGAAAAUUUAGUAAGACAAUAAAAUACCAGACCCAUGAUGAUUCAUCUCCUGUUCUUGAAGAAAACAUAUUAUUUUUUCUAACAAAAUAAUAAAACCCAAAAAGUAACAGCCUUUACUAAGCUAGAAUCUUGAAGGUAUAACCUUUUAGCUUGAAAUUCACAAAGGCAAACAGAGCAUCUUUCUCAAAGGCAAACAAAGGCAAACAGAGCUUGAAAUUCACAAAGACAAACAUAGCACCUUUUAGUUUUGUUUUGCAUAUUAUUUGGAAGACUGAAUGGAAUACUUCUUAUUAAGAAUAGGGAAUUGAAAAUCAUAAACCAAAAUUUGCAUUGCCACAGAAAAGUAUUCUAGAUAAAAUAAUGAAUUAUAUCAGUUUUUUCUUGUCCUAAAAAAAAAAAGAAACGAAGAGAAAUACAACAGACUAAAUGGAUUUUUCUCGUGAUGAUUACUUUUAAUAUAGGGUAUAUGGUAUCAAAUAAAACCCUUGCAAAUACAUGCCGAACUUCCUGCAGACUACCUAAAGUUAACAAUUCAUUAUCAAUCUUACUAGCUUGCUUUGCUAUAAAUUUUUCUCUAUGUCCCUCUUCAAUGCAUUCAAAUAUCUUGCACACCCUCAAAUACAGUUCGAGUGGGAUAAAGACCUAUAAAAACGAAAGCAGACAAUGAUCAAGCUAAGACAUACACACUUGCUACUGAAAUUUAUACUAGAAAAUAACUAUUACAAUUAGCCAUUCAUUUGAAUACAGACUACAAGGAAUGAAGUAGUUGCCAGACAUAUAAUAGCUAUUACCAGACAUAUAGGUACAAGGAAUAAUAUGAAGCAACAUCAAACAAAUAGUCAGAAUAAGAAGAAAGUACCUUUGGUGGUUUUGUCUUUUCCUUUAUUCCCUUUCUCAUUAUCGUAGUCUUUGUUAUGUUGAUUUGCUAUUAAUAAACAACAAUAAAAAUUAAAUAUUUAUAAAAAAACAAAAAAAAACAUAACAAAUUGAACUGUUUGUACCUAGUUUUGGACAAGUAGUCCUAUAAUUGUUGGCUCUCCACACUCUCCACAAUAACAAUACCCUUUACUUCUUGAGCUACUUCUCUACCCGAUUGAAAUCUCGAGGCUCCCUUUGGUCUCCCUUUGAGCUACCUCUCUACCCGAUUUCAGGAACAUGAAUGAACAAAACAAAGAAAAGAUAAAUAGCAUAAACUACUUAAUUAAGCAAUUGAGUGUAAAUGUCCUGCAGAUGCCAAAUUUUUAAAGGCACCAUGUGAUACCCCCAAAUCCAGGUACUUCAAUUCCACAGAUUUGGUGUUCACUGUCCAAUUAAAUCAUAACUAACUACCCAUAAACAAAGGAUAUAAUUAAACUCAAAAGUUUAAACAAUCAAUCUUCCAUUAAAGGUUACAUAAUCUAAAAUAAAUCCCAGGUCAUAUAACCUUUAUUACAAUCAUCAGCAGAAAAUUAAAACAUGAUCAUAAUUAAAUCUAUUACAUAAGCUUCAUAAAUAGAAGAUAAAUUAAACGUUGUCAUCUAAUCAAGCACUUUGUCCUUGCCCUAGCUUGAAGAAAGCUCUUCAAACUUCUUAACUUCAUCUGCAUUGUUUGGUGCAAGAGUGAGCAAACAAUUGCUCACAAGAAGAAUAGUAUACAAUAACAUUUUAUGAAUGACAAUAACUGAACUUUCAAUGGUAAAGUUUUCUUACCAGAACAAUAAACUUUAAUUCAACAACUAUAAGUUCAAAGGAAUAAUGAACGUUAAGUUAACAAUAGAUAUCAACAUCAAAGAAUACACUGAGGGUCACAAGACCACGAACUAUACUCUAGGUCUCAAGUAUUUCUACUUUAACCUUUAACAGUCUAAACGACUAUAUGGACCAUCAUUCCGUACUCCAGGUGAUCAGCCCUUUGUACUAUGUAUUGCGCAAACAAUUUAACGCUAUUGCGUAUUUCUAAAAUAAUCCCCUAAUAAUAGGGUUGUUCAUCUCAACUUAGAUCAUCAGGUUCCGAACCAAAUGAAGUUUGGUUGGGAAUUAGCUUUCAAGGAAUUCUAGAUCUUUAAAACGCUCAUCAACCAAGUACUGGUUGAAUCAGAUAGAAAUAAAUAACUAUUCAAUAGUUUGAUUAUAAUAUCUUUAUGAACAAGGUAUAUUGAUGUAUCAAUAAGAACUAGAGUAUUAACAAUUUCUAAAUUAUACAAAUGUUAUCAUCGACAACAUGCUUUCAAAAUUUAUGUGAAUACAUAUGCAAACCAAAGGAAGUUUGGUUUGGGUUGACUUCAAGGGAAAUUUAGAGUUUAAAACAUUCAUCAACUAAGGAUUAGUUGAGUUGGUAAAGAAUCGCUAGACAACUUAGAGUUCGGUACAAUAAUGUAAGAUAAUACAAUGAUAUUGGACAACGAAGAUCAAACAACAGUUAUUAGUAGUUGAAUAAACAACAUUACUGACUUUGAAUAAACAAGAUAAUCUCGUUUGAAAUAAAGAAAUAAAGAUUAACUAACUUGUUCAAUAAUUACAUGAGAGUUAAAGAAUUCGCAUGACAAUAAAUCGUCAAACAAGAGGUUAGAGUUAGAGAAUCUGCAUAAGUAUAACGUAAUAGUGAAAAGUAACCUUGCUGAAAAAUAAAGUAGCAAAGGUUAGGGAACUUGCCUCUUGCGUAAGCUAUACAAUUACAACUCACGUACUCCAAUAACCUACUCAUAGGUUUAGAACCACAAUACCUAUUAGAUAUGCUAACAUACCAUAACAUGUACAUUUCUUGCUAAACUUAUCAUUUUAGCACAAGUCUUAUGCUACUAUACAAUUAUCAGAAAUUUCAAGUGUUAACCUUCAUAAUACUUAUUUACUAAUCCUCAUUCUCAAUAAAUCACAUGUCAUUUUCAUAGUUUACUAACUUCUUAUAACUUUAGAAUCACUAACCAUAUACCACUAUGUUGUUUUAACCUUGUAGUUACACAUUUGUCAUAUUAACAUAACCUUAGACCAAGUUAUAGUCGUGUUACAAAGUCUGCAGCAACAGCAGACCUCAUUGUCUCAGGACAGGGUAUGGCGCAGAUGCGCUAUACACAAGCCUGGGACCGGCGCAGCUGCACCGUUUUUUUGCCUUGGCAUCGGCGCAGUUGCGCCGGUGCACAGACAGGCGCAGAAACGGCAUGAACAGUAGCCGAUUUUAACCCAACUAACACGAAUUUCACCCACCAAACAGUGAAAUUAACACAUAAAAUAAAUAUACAACUAUCAUAAACAUGAUUGCUAACAUAUUCAAUCACUUAGCACAAUUUAACAACAACUAAAACUAUUUUAAUUUCUCAAAAUUCAUAUUUUUCAUAAAAAACUCCAUUUUUGAUAUCUCUUGGAAAAAUCAUCACUGUAAUCUCUAUACUUGGCCAAAUCACUUCAUUCCAAUUACGUUAGGCUCGUUUCUUAAUGAACUAACAUAAUCAAGCUUCAAUUUGCAGUUUAACAUAAGAAUUGACCAUCAAAAUUGGUACUUACCGAAGCCAUAUAAAGAAUACAUAUACUGUCAAAACGAAAUUAUCAUACAAAUUUCUUGUUUUAAACAUAACUCUAGCAUCAUAAACAUAUAUCAUUAGAAUUUACCAAUUAUAUAUCCACAAUUCACCAAUUUAUUUCACAGAACACAAACACACCAUGCCGUGAAUUCAUAUAUGUACAUAUAUAUAAACAUAUAACAUUAGGGUUAAGAAUAAUACCUUCAAUUUACUUGGUAACCACUGAAAUUGUUGUGAAUCACAAACUUUCUCUCAAUUCUCUCCCUAGCUUUUCUGUAUUUUCAUCCUUCUCUUUUUAGGCUUAAGCCAAUUUUCUUUUACGUAUACUAAAACUUAACCCAACGCACACACCCAAACGUCUGAAACCGACGUUAUAAUAAUUAGAAUAAUAAGUUAUCAGUUACUCCCUCCGUUCCAUAGUUAUAGGCUGAUUUUCCAUUUUGAGAUGUCCCAAUAUAUAGGCUACUUACUAUUUAUAAAAUUUAGUUGGUUCAUUGUUUUACUUUUAUGCCCUUAUAAUAAAUAUUCAAUCAUUACUCUUUUUUUGAAGAAACAACAUUCAAUGUCAUUAUUUUUAUCACCACAUUUAAUGUUGUUGUAUUCUCUUUGGUUAAAGUUCUAUGGUUAUGGACUUUAACACGUCAAUCAAUGAAGUUGAGAGUUCCAGUGUGAUAAGUAAGAAGUAAUUAAUUUAUUCAUUAAUUCCAUAUUAAGGGGUAUAUGUGGAAAAUUUAUGUUAAAAAUUUCCACUAAACUGAUUUUCUUAAACUACGUGCCAAAAGAAAUCAGCCUAUAACUAUGGGACGGAGGGAGUAUAAUAUAUAUUAUUUAUUAUUUAAUAUAUUUUAUUUACUUUAUUUAUAAUUCGAAUAUUAAAAGAAAUCCAAAAGCCAUAAGGCUUUGUUUGGCAAAAAGUCUUUAAAAUAAAGACUUAUAUAUUUAAGUCUUGUUUGGUAAAAACUAAUUAAACUCCUUUAAUUUAUUUUAAUAAACAACUUAGUUUAUAAUUUAUAACCACAUAUGACUUAUUUGGAUUUUCAUAUCCAACAUUAAUUAAAUAAAAUAAUUAUACAUACUAUAUUUUAAAUAAAUACUCCACUUAAACAAACAUCACAAACUUAUAACUUUAUUAUAAUUUUAUUUAAUAAUUUAAUAUACCAUCUUAAUUUAUCACAUCACAACAACAAUAUAACAUCUCAUGUUAUCUCACAACAUAAUAACUAUAAAUCAAAUUAAUUUAGAAUAUUAUCUAAUAAAUAUAAUUUAUAAAUAUUUACUAACAAAAUCACAUAUUCAUUUAAUUUAAGAAACAUUUUAAAUUACAAAACAACAACUUCAUCAAUAAAACAUUUAUUUAAUUUAAUAAAUAUUUUAAAUUACAAAAAAAAUCUUGGAUUGUUACAGACCACAUAUAUUAUUGUUAGAUCUCCAUGUUACAACAUCAACAUCAAGGAAAAAGGACCCUCCCUAUCCAGAGAAUUAAAUCUUGAAUAUUUUUGUUUUCACAAUAACCGUAUGCAAUCAACAAGUGCUAAUAAAUAAUCAACUCUCAAAAGACCUAAAUCUCAUCAUAUUGCCACCAUAUGUAUCAUUACUGCAAUGAGCAAUACUGAAUUGACACUAAAUAUGUAAACUGGCCAUAUUGCUUUCUAUUUAUAACACCACCCACUACAACCCAGAAAAAUAUUCAUAAAUCAAAAAGUUAUCUAUCAACACAAACAAAUAUGCAGAUUCUAGGGUUUGGCCCUCAAAAAAUAUUAGCCCUCCAAUUUUUCAAAACCAAAACACAAAAUAUAAAACAAAAGGCCUAAUUCAACACUAAACGCAAGAAAAUCCAUCUACCCACACCUAAUUUUGUUACCUUGCAAUGAAUCGAAGGAUUUGUCGCGAGGAGAUGGGAAGCCUGAGCGAGGAGAUGGGCGAUGAGCGAGGAGAUGGCCGGCGAGCGAGGAGAUGGGAAGAGCAAGAAAGAGGCAGCGGGGAGAGCAGGAGAGAGAAUAAAUAAGAGGCAGAUGGGUUCUUUGCUAUCAGCCUUUAGAGAAGACGCGUUUUUUUUUGUUUCAGUCAAAACAACAUCGUUUUUGACUGACUGUGUAAAAAAAAAAAAUUGCACAGCUGUGCAUACCCAUUUCCCCCAUAUAAUCAUUACAUGCAUUUAAGUAUUAUAUAUUAUAUUAUAACAUAACCUGCAUGUACAUCAUAUAUAUAUUUAAACUACAUGUGUGUAUUAUAUAGUCCAUGCAUUAUAUUAAUGUGCAUUAAAUGUGUGUGUAUAUNNNNNNNNNNNNNNNNNNNNNNNNNNNNNNNNNNNNNNNNNNNNNNNNNNNNNNNNNNNNNNNNNNNNNNNNNNNNNNNNNNNNNNNNNNNNNNNNNNNNNNNNNNNNNNNNNNNNNNNNNNNNNNNNNNNNNNNNNNNNNNNNNNNNNNNNNNNNNNNNNNNNNNNNNNNNNNNNNNNNNNNNNNNNNNNNNNNNNNNNNNNNNNNNNNNNNNNNNNNNNNNNNNNNNNNNNNNNNNNNNNNNNNNNNNNNNNNNNNNNNNNNNNNNNNNNNNNNNNNNNNNNNNNNNNNNNNNNNNNNNNNNNNNNNNNNNNNNNNNNNNNNNNNNNNNNNNNNNNNNNNNNNNNNNNNNNNNNNNNNNNNNNNNNNNNNNNNNNNNNNNNNNNNNNNNNNNNNNNNNNNNNNNNNNNNNNNNNNNNNNNNNNNNNNNNNNNNNNNNNNNNNNNNNNNNNNNNNNNNNNNNNNNNNNNNNNNNNNNNNNNNNNNNNNNNNNNNNNNNNNNNNNNNNNNNNNNNNNNNNNNNNNNNNNNNNNNNNNNNNNNNNNNNNNNNNNNNNNNNNNNNNNNNNNNNNNNNNNNNNNNNNNNNNNNNNNNNNNNNNNNNNNNNNNNNNNNNNNNNNNNNNNNNNNNNNNNNNNNNNNNNNNNNNNNNNNNNNNNNNNNNNNNNNNNNNNNNNNNNNNNNNNNNNNNNNNNNNNNNNNNNNNNNNNNNNNNNNNNNNNNNNNNNNNNNNNNNNNNNNNNNNNNNNNNNNNNNNNNNNNNNNNNNNNNNNNNNNNNNNNNNNNNNNNNNNNNNNNNNNNNNNNNNNNNNNNNGACCUGGGAUAGGUUUAAGGAAAUAUUCUUCGAGACCUAUUUCCCAGAGAGUUCGAAGAGUCAGCUAGAAGUGCAGUUUUUGAAACUAAAGCAGGGAACAAUGACGGUAUCUGAGUAUGCCGCUAAAUUCAACGAGUUGGCAAGGUUUGCGCCUUAUCAAGUCAGCACGGACGAACGCAAGGUGAAGAGGUUUAAACAUGGACUGAAGCCCUAGUUGUACAGUAUGGUUUCCCUGUUCCAGUUGAAGACUUUCGCAGCAGUGAUGGAGAAAGUAAUACUCAUUGAAGGUGGAGACGAGGCAGUGACAAAGUUCAAUCAGGAAUAUAAGAAGAAGAAGAAUGAGGUGAAGAUCAAGAAUGGAGGUGGUAGUAGUGGAAACGACAACAACAAUUUGAAGAGGAAGUGGAAUGGGAAUGUGGGUGCUGGAAACCAGUAGGGUAACCAGCAAAAUAAUAAGUUUGAAGCAUGUGUUACAUGCGGGAAGUGUCACAAGGGUCGUGCUUGAUGGGGAAAUGUGUAUGCUUCAAUUGUGGCUAGGAGGGUCACAUCACCCCAAAUUGCACUCAACCUAAGAAGAAUUUGUGCUUCACGUGCGGAUCCAAGGAUCACUUUACUCGUGAAUGCCCUAAGAAGAAGACUGGAGAGACAACCAGAAGCAAUGGAGGUAAUAGUGGAGGUACAUGGGCCAUUGUUGGACCUACAACAUCAAACAAACCCACAGCCAGAACCUUCAACAUGAUUGUGCAAGAUGCUGUGCAAUCAAAAGAUGUGGUGUCAGGUAUUAUCCCAAUCAAUGAUAUAAAUGCUUAUGUAUUAUUUGAUUCGGGUGCUACUUGCUCGUUUAUAUCUGAUGAAUUUUCUAAGAGGUUAGGAAUGCCUAGUGAAAAACUGAAUUUCCCUUUGAACAUAGAAAUUGCGAAUAAUGAAGUAAUCCAUGUUAGAUUAGUAUACAAGAACUGUAGGGUGAACAUUAAGGAGAAUAUCUUGACGGUAGAUUUGAUUCCGAUUAGACUUGGAGAGUUUGAUGUUAUUUUGGGAAAGGAUUGACUGUUCAAAUAUGGAGCGGUAAUUGAUUGCCAAAAGAAAUGUGUAAACCUUAUUACUCCGCCAAAGGUAGUUUUCUAUGGUAGUAAAUCGCCUAGACAAAUGAGAUGUCUGACGAUUAUGCAGGCCAAGAAAUUGUUGAGUCAAGACUGUGUGGGCUACUUAGCUUACAUAGUCGAUACUCAAAAGAAGGGUGUGAAACUGGAAGAGAUACCAGUGGUGAGGGAAUUUGAAGAUGUGUUUCUAGAGGAUUUGCCAGGACUCCCGCCUGACAGGGAGAUUGAGUUCGUGAUCGACUUAGCGCCAGGAACAACAUCGAUAUCGAAGGCCCCGUACAGAAUGGCUCCGGUAGAAAUGAAGAAACUGAUGGUACAAUUGCAAGAACUGUUAGACAAGAAGUAUAUUCAACCAAGCGUAUCACCGUGGGGAGCGCCAGUGUUAUUCGUGAAGAAGAAGAAUGGGUCGAUGCGUCUUUGCAUUGAUUAUAGAGAAUUAAACAAAGUCACUAUUAAAAACAAAUAUCCAUUGCCAAGAAUAGAUGACUUGUUUGAUUAGUUGAGGGGUGCUAAAUACUUCUCAAAAAUAGAUUUGAGAAGUGGGUAUCACAUUUGAAAGUGAGGAAGGAGGAUAUACCUCGAACGACAUUCAGAACUCGGUAUGGACAUUACGAGUUUCUGGUGAUGUCUUUUGGUUUGACCAACGCCCCUGCUACAUUAAUGGAUUUGAUGAACAGGGUGUUUAAACCAUUUUUAGACAAGUUUGUAGUGGUAUUUAUCGACGACAUUCUGGUGUACUCCAAAACUCAAGAGGAACACGUGGAACAUUUACGUUUGACAUUGGAAAUACUAAGAAAGGAAAAGUUGUACAUGAAAUUCUCUAAGUGUGAAUUUUGGCUAGAUCGUGUACAAUUUCUUGGGCAUGUGAUUGACAAAGAUAGGAUUUCAGUGGAUCCAUCAAAAGUGGAAGAUGUAAUCAAUUUAGAACAACCAAGAACACCAUCGAAGGUAAGGAGUUUCUUGGGAGUGGUCGGUUAUUAUAAAAGAUUUAUUCAAGAUUUUUCUAAGAUAGCCACUCCGCUAACAAAUUUGACAAGAAAAGCGGUAAAAUUUAUUUGGACGGAGAAGUGUGAAGAGAGUUUUCAAGAUUUGAAGAAGAAAUUAAGUGUGGCACCUGUGUUGUCGUUACCAGAUAGUACAGGAAACUUUGUGGUGUUUAGUGAUGCCUUACAUAAAGGGCUGGAUUGUGUUCUUAUGCAGAACGACAAAGUAAUUGCAUAUACAUCAAGACAACUGAAGGAUUAUGAGAAAGGUUAUCCGACUCAUAAUUUGGAAUUGGCUGCAGUAGUAUUUGCUCUGAAGAUAUGGAGACACUAUCUCUAUAGAGAAAAAUGUGAAAUCUACAGAGACCAUAAAAGUCUGAAGUAUAUUUUCACACAGAAGGACCUGAAUAUGUGUCAAAGAAGAUGGAUGGAAUUGAUAAAAGAUUACGAUUGUGAGAUCUUUUAUCAGCCGGGCAAAGAAAAUGUGGUUGCAGAUGCUUUAAGCAGAAAAGGCCGGGAAAAGUUGAUGUUGUUAACCAACCAGGAAGAGCUUAUUUCAGAGAUGGCAAGGCUAGAGUUGGAAAUCAAAUUUCAAAAAGAAACCGACGAAAAAUUAUACCAGAUAGAAGCUAGUCCAACUUUGGUGGACAAAGUGAAGAAUGCUCUACUACAAGAUAAAGAUUGUUGUGACACCCCAAAAUUCGGGUACUUCAUUUUCGCCGAAUUUGGUGCUCACUAUUAAAAUAAUUACAUCUAACUACCCAUAAUAAAGGAUAAAACAUUAAAUAACUUUAAACAAUAAUCUUUCCCAUUAAAGGGUUACAUCAUCAUCUCAAAAACAAUCCCAGGUAAUCUAACCUUAAAAAUUAUUACAUCAGUUUGUGGAAUACAUUAUAAAAUAAAAUAAGUCUUAUAACUUCAAGCAUUCAAAUAAACUUUAACUAAUUCUUCAUCACUUAGACAUCUUGCCAUUUUCCUUGCUAGUAGAUGGAUCAUCACCUCUUUCGACUUUAGCUGCAUUGUUUAAUUGCAAGAGUGAGCAAAAAAUUGCUCACCGACAUAAAGAAUAGUAAUAAUAAUCAUAAGAGAAUGAACAACGAAUGAUGUACAAUAAUGAACUUGUUCUACGAAUAGAAACAGAAACAAGUUCAAACUUUUAAUAUCUGAGGGUCUUAAGACCAUGAACUAUGUCUUUGGUGUUUAGGUGUUAUUACUUUAACCUUAACAGUCAUUAGACUGUACAGACUCUUCUUAACGUACUUAGGGGGAUCAGCCCUUUGUACCAUGUAUUGUGCACAAACAUCUAAAUGUUACACGUACAAAAUCCCCUAUGUUAGGGUUGUUCGUCUCAACUUGAAUUUAGAACUUCCGCACUAAACAAAGUUUAGUUUGGAACUAGCUUAUCAGUGUUUCUAGAAUUUUAGAACACUUAUUCAAAUUCCAACAAUGAAGGUUUAAUACAAGAGUGUGUAACUGAACAAGGCUAUCCAAGUCAAAGAUCGGAUAUUAAUAAUAUAUAACUGAAUAAACAUGAUACACAUGCAAAGUACUAUGUUCAAAGAAGUAGAACAAUCUCCUUUGAAUCAAUGUGUUAGAACAAUAUACGUUUUGAAUAACAAUAACAAUAAAUGAGAAUGUAAAACUCAUUCGAGGUAACGAAUUAGGUUACAUGAGCUUGUUCAAUGUAUAUAAAAAUAGAAUCAAUAGUCUUGCUCAAUGAAAGUUUAGGUUUAGAAUCUUGCACAAUUAUGAAAGUAGAGUUAGAGAACUUGCCUUGUUUAUAAGCUACACAAGUGUAAAAUAAUCUCCAAUUACCCUACAUACAUCAUUACAAUCGCAACAAAAAUUAGUUGUAUGAAUAUUAACACUAUGGGUAUUAAACCAUCAUUUAGGUCAUAACCCCAACCUAGUACCUAACCAUUUAGGUUAACACUUAACAAAUCUGAAAUCACACUGUGAACCUUAUCAUUUAUAUUUAACUUUUGAAAACAUCACAUUCGGUUCAUUAUAUAACUUAUUUAAAUAAUUACUUAAAAUCUUCACACUUUGAAUUACAACAUCUUACAAUCUGUUAUUAUAGUCCACUUUAUAUUUUAAUAUCCUUAACAUGCAUGCUAAACUCAUAUAAGUCCGUUACACAUGAUCUGCAAUUAAGCAGACUGCACUGCCUGGGCUCAGGGCACGGCGCAGCUGCGCUGCCCCUUGCCUUAGCACCGGCACAGCUGCGCUGGUGCUCGACUGCAGAAAACCCAGUGGCGCAGCUGCGCUUGGGACUGGCGUAGCUGCGCAGUUUCUUGCCUUGGCACCGGCGCAGCUGCGCUGGUGCACAGACAAAGGCAGAAACGGUAGUGAAUAGUAGCCUACUUUAGCCCAACAAACACGAAUUUCACCCAUAAAAUAGUGAAAUUAACACCUAUAAUUGGUACAAGCUAUUACAAACAUGUUUGCUAAUAUUUACAACCAAUUAACACAAUUUAACAUCAACUAAAACUAUUUUAAUUUCUCAAAAUUCAUAUUUUUCAUAUAAAACUUCAUUUUUGAACUUCUUCACAAAAUUGAACACUGUGACUUCGAUUCUUGUCCGAAUUACUUCAUUCAAAUUACGUUAUGUGCGUUUCUUAAUAGACUAACAUAAACAAAAUCCAAUUUGCAGUUUAGCAUAGGAAUUAACCACUAAAAUUGGUACUUUUCACAAGCCAUAUAAGAAAUACAACACUGUCAUACUUUUCUUCCUUUUUAAACUGUAAUUCGCAUAUAAUUCAUGUCUGAUUACAACCUCUAACAUCAUAACUAUCUAUAAUCAUCAUACACAGGUUACAUAACAACAAUUUACAGAAACUAGAAUUUACAGAGUUUACAAAUUAUGCCGUAAAACUCAUAUAUAUAUAUAUAUAUACACACACACAUAUAAUCCUAAGGUUUAGAAAAUACCUCCACUUUGAUUGUAUGCUACCAAAGGAUGGUGACUAGGUUUAGCAAUUCCCCUUCUUCCUCUUGCCAAUCACCAAGAACUCAGUGGCUUUCUCUCUUCUCUCUCAAACCCUCUCUGUAUUUUCUGUAUUGUCUAGCCUUAGGAAAAAAAUAAGACGCGUAGGAAAAUAUACUAACUCCCACUUCCCCACUAACGUCAAGUAAAAAAACCAACAGAUAGCGUUAGUUGAAAAAGCUAAAGGCCACAAGGCCAUGUUUGGCUAACCACAUAAUUCCCAAACCAAAUUAUUAUUAUAUUAUUUAUAUUAUAUAGUUACUUUGUGUCACACGCUAUUUAACUAACUUUAAUUUAGCUAAUUUAAAUAACUUAUAAUAAUAAUAAAAACCUUAUUAUCAUUAUACCUUGUAAUUAAUAAAUAAUUAUAUAUCUAAUUUAAUUAAUAAAUUAGAAACAUCGCUUUAUUUAUUUUCAUUAAAUUAAACAAUUCAUUUAAUUUAAUUGUCUUCUUUAAUAUUAAGCAAUUGAUUUGAUUUAAUUAUUUUUCAUUAAAUAAAAUUACCAAUUUAGUUACUAAAUUAAUUCACCACAAUUAUCAAUUAUUUAUUUUCAUCAAUACAUAAAUUAUUUAAAAUAUUUAUUUAAUUCAAUAAAUAUUUAAAUUAAAUUACAAAUUUCUCGAUCGUUACAAUUGCGAAACGAUCAAAGAGAAAGUGGUUUAGGGUAGUGAUGUAAAAUACAAGAUCGAUACCGAAGGACUACUACGGUUCGAGGAAAGAAUUUGGGUUCCAGCAGUACCAGAGCUUAAAGACGAAAUCUUGACCGAAGCACACAACACAAGAUAUUCGAUUCAUCCAAGAAGUACGAAGAUGUAUCAAGAUUUGCGGAUACAUUUUUGGUGGCCGAACAUGAAAAGAGAUGUUGCAGAAUGUGUCGCGAAAUGCUUGACAUGUCAAAGAGUCAAGGCCAAACAUCAAAGACCAAGCGGAUUACUUCAACCGUUAGAAAUACCAGAAUGGAAGUGGUAACACAUCACAAUGGAUUUUAUGGUGGGUCUUCCAACUACUCAGAGAGGAUACGAUGCGAUUUGGGUGAUAGUGGACAGACUGACAAAAUCAGUGCACUUUUUACCAAUAAAGAUUAAGUUCAAUCUUGAUCAGUUGGCAAGGUUGUACGUUAAAGAGAUCAUUUUGAGGCAUGGAGUACCAGUGUCAAUUGUGUCAGAUAGAGAUCCGCGAUUUACGUCAAACUUCUAGAAGAGACUAUAAGAAUGUAUGGGAACACAAUUGCGAAUGAGUACAACAUACCAUCCGCAAACAAAUGGGCAAAGUGAACGAACAAUCCAAACAUUGGAAGAUAUGCUGAGAGCAUGCAUUAUGGAUUUCAAAGGGAGCUGGGAAGAACAUUUACCGUUGGUGGAAUUUACCUACAAUAACAUUUACCACGCGAGCAUCGGCAUGCCGCCUUACGAGGCAUUAUACGGCAGAAAGUGCAGAACUCCACUGUGCUGGGAUGAAGUUGGUGAACGCCAACUGUUAGGACCAGAACUGGUACAACACACUGCUGAGGUUGUCAAACUCAUCAAGACAAGAUUGGUAGCAGCCUAAGACAGACAGAAAAAGUAUGAUGAUCAACACAAACGAGAUCGUGCAUUUGAAGUAGGAAAUUUUAUUUUCCUAAAAGUUUCUCCUUGGAAGGGGAAAAUUCAUUUUGGCAAGAAAUGAAAGCUCAGUCCAAGAUUUAUUUGACCUUUCGAGAUACUACGAAGAGUGGGGGAAGUGGCUUAUGAGGUAGCUCUACCUCCAGAGUUGGAAAACGUUCAUAAUAUUUUUCACGUUUCGGUGUUACGACCGUAUAAACCUGAUUACAAGCACGUGAUCGAGUACGAACCAUUGCAAUUCGAUAAAGAUUUGUCUUAAGAAGAGAUUCCUAUUCAGAUAGUCGACAGGAAAGAACAAGUGCUCAGAAAUAAAGUGAUACCUUCUGUGAAGGUGAUAUGGAGAAACCACAAUGUCGAAGAGGCAACGUGGGAACUCGAAGUUGAAAUGAUGAAAAAUUACCCUGAGUUAUUUGUUUAAUCUAUGUCUUCGAUUCUAGGGACAGAAUCUUUGUAAGAAGUGAAGAAUGUGACGAUUUGAUUGUUUGAAUUGUGAUUCUGAGGACAGAAUCCUUGUAAGGAGGGAAUGAUGUAACAUUCCAGAAUUUUAAUUGUAAUAUUAAAUAUUUAUUGAAUUAUAUAAAUAUUUAUUUGAUGUGUUUAUUGUUGAAAAUGAUGAAAUAAAUAUUUUAUUGACGUGAUUAUUAGUAAAUAUUUAUGAAUUAAAUUUAUUAGAUAAUAUUCUAAAAUAAAUUAAUUUAUAAUUUAGAGAGUUGUAAUAUAACAUGAGAAUUAUAUUGUUAUUGAAUUUAAUAAUUUAAAGGGUAUAUUAAAUUAUUAAAUAAAAAUUAUAAUGAGAUUAUGAUUUUGUGUUAAUCGUUUAAAUGGUAUAUUUAAUUAAAAUAUAGUGUGUAACUAAUUUAUUUGAUUAAUGCUGGAUAUGAAGAUCUGAAUAAAUAAUAUGUGAUUAUAAAUUAUAAACUAAAUUGUUUAUUAAAAUAAUUAAAGUAGUUUUAAAUAUGUUUAACCCAAACAAAGCUUAAAGAUAUUAAAUCUUUAUUUUAAAGACUUUUUGCCAAAGAAAGCCUUAUGGCUUUUGGAUUUUCAAAUUUUGAAUUAUAUAAUUAAAAUAAAUAAAAUAAAUUAAAUAAUAAAUAUAAUAUAAUUAUAACUUAUACGUUAUUUUAUAACUGAUAUCCUAAUUAAUAUUAGUGUUAAGGUUAUAUCAGUUUUCUUUUACGCAUUAGAUAGUCUAGUUGCUAAGUUGCUAAACCUAAGUAGAACAUUGAGAAUUCAGAGAAGAGAACUUGAGAGUGAAACUUGAGAGAAAUUGGGAGAGAUUUGUCUGCAAUUAACAAGGUUGUCUUAGCGAAUUGAAGGUAUGUUCAUAAUCUUAGUAUUACAUAUACAUAUAUGUUCUGAUAUGUUUUACGUCAUGUAUGUUCUAUCCUCUAUGAAUUCCAAUUCUCUUGAACUGUUGUAGAAAACUGAGUACUUAUAGUUGUAUGUGUUAAUCAUGAUUAGAGUUUGUGUUUAAGCAAGAAUUGUAUGCUAAUUUUCGGAUAACAGUAGAAAAAAUAAUGUCAGUAUAUGUUUUCUCAUAUGUUUUGUAAAAGUACCAAUUAUGAUGGUCAAUUAGUAUGAUAAACUGCAAAUUGAAGCUUGUUUAUGCUAGUUCAUUAAGAAACGAAGAUAAUGUAUUUUGAACGAAGUGAUUUGGUGAAGAAUUGAUAUCACGGUAAUGAUUUUUGAUGAAGAAACUCAAAAAUGGAGUUUUCAUAUGAAAACAUGAAAAUUGAGAAAUUAAAAUAGUUUUAGUUGUUGUUAAAUUGUUCUAUGUUGAUGAAUAUGUUAGCAAUCAUGUUUAUGAUAGUGUUAUAUUUAUUUUAUAUGUUAAUUUCACUGUUUGGUGGGUGAAAUUCGUGUUAGUUGGGCUAAAUACGGCUAUUGUUCAUGCUAUUUCUACCUCUGUCUGUGCAUCAGCGCAGCUGUGCUACUGAUCUGAGGCAGAGCCUUUUGCUGCUGCUGCAGAUUUUGGGGAAAACUUACCACUUGGUCUAAGGUUAUGAUUAAGUGUCAAACAUGUAGUAAGUAGGUUAAAACAUAACCAUGAUAUAUAAUUGAUAAAUUCAAAAUUUGAAUGAUUAGUAAGUGAUGAAUGUGGUAUAUUAUAACUUAGUGAGCAUGAUGAAUAGUAAACAGGUAUUGAGAAGGUUAACACUUGUAAUUUCUGAUAUUUGUAUGGUAGCUUAAGACUUGUGCUAAAAUAAUAAGUCUAACUAGAAAUGUGUGUUAUGUUGGAAUAUGAAUGUUAGUAAUCUAAUAGAUGGUAGUUCUAAACCUAUAUGUAGGUGGACGUGAGUUUAAUAUUAUAGCUUACGCUCGAGGCAAGUUCUUUAACUCUACUUUUAUAAUAAUUGUGCAAGCUUCUAAAUCUCAUCUAUUUACAUUGAGCAUGUUUUAAUCUUAAGUUAUUGUAAUUCUAAUCAUUGUUGGCUUACUCUAACUUGUUUAUAGUUAAACAAGUUUUCUCUAGUUCAUUCUUUUUAAUACAUGUUUCUUGAACCUUAAUUCCUUGUGUUGAAAUGGUUCAAUCACUUUGUAUAGUUUAUUACCAUGUGGAGUAAACAUUGUUUCCAGCUUGCUAUCAAUUAGUGCAUGUUCGGUAACUAAAUUUCUAAUUUGGCAAGAUCACAGACCUAGCUUAUUAUUGUUCAAGCCAAGGUUUAUCAUUUUCUUCAUUUUGAUCAAUACUUAUGCUCUCUAGUUAUUUUCAAGCAUGAGUUUAGAAUAUAGUCAGUUCACCUAUGAUUCUCAAAUGUUCUAUGUUAUGUUGUUAUUAAACAACUAUUGUGUUAUCAAGCAUUGUUGAUUCAACUAGUUCCUUAGUUGAUGAUCGUUAAACUUCAAAUUACCCUUUAAAGCUUAUCCAAACAAAACUUUCUUUGGUGCGGACUUGUACUCUAAAUACUGAGAUGAACAACCCUAUUAUUAGGGGUUUACGUUUAGCGUUGAAAUGGUUGUGCACAAUACAUUGUACGAAGGGCUGAUCCCCCUAAGUACGUGGAGUCCUUAUAGUCUUAUGACUGUUAAAGUUGAAGUUGAAAGAUUACAUAUAACUGUGGACAUGGUUCGUGGUCAUUAGACCCUCAGUAGUAUAUUUCAGAAUGUUAAUAGAACAUAUCAUUCAGUUCUAUUGAGCCUAUUAUUUGGCAAAUGUUGUAAAGUUUAUUCAUUCUUAUUUCAAGUGAGCUUUGUUUGCUCACUCUUGCUUAUAUAACUAUUACAGCUAAGGAUGAGAAGGUAGAUGUACCUAGCACCAGUAAGGGAAAGGGGAAGAUGAACAAGUAUUGAAGACUUGUAAUAUGUUGACAGUUAUUUAUCAGACUUUAAUUUGAUUGAUGUAAUGAAGUAUUUAUUUAAUUUUCGCAUUUGAAUGAUUGUACUUAAAGGUUAGAUAACCUGGGAGAUUUUAUUAAUGUAAUCCCUUAAGGGAAGGUUUAUUAUUCAAUUUUUAUUAUGAUUGGAUAGUUAAAUAUGAAUGUUUUGAUUAAGUGAACACCAAAUCUUGAGGUAAUAAAGUACCGGGAUUUGGGGUUGUCACAAGUUUGUUGCUACUCUUAUCAUUUAGUAGUUUAAUUUUAUGGAUAGUUUGGUAUAUUUUGUGGAUGUAGUCAAAUUCACAAUUCAAUAUUGUAGUAAUUAUAUUGAAAAAU